CACCGCCCGUCACACCCUGGGAAUUGGUUUCGCCCGAAGCAUCGGACCAAUGAUCACCCAUGACUUCUGUGUACCACUAGUGCCACAAAGGCCUUUUGGUGGUCUUAUUGGCGCAUACCACGGUGGGGUCUUCGACUGGGGUGAAGUCGUAACAAAGGUAGCCGUAGGGGAACCUGUGGCUG
rnacentral:rRNA from 1 species